GACGAACGCUGGCGGCGUGCUUAACACAUGCAAGUCGAACGGAAAGGCCCUGCUUUUGUGGGGUGCUCGAGUGGCGAACGGGUGAGUAACACGCGAGUAACCUGCCCUUGACUUUGGGAUAACUUCAGGAAACUGGGGCUAAUACCGGAUAGGAGCUCCUGCUGCAUGGUGGGGGUUGGAAAGUUUCGGCGGUUGGGGAUGGACUCGCGGCUUAUCAGCUUGUUGGUGGGGUAGUGGCUUACCAAGGCUUUGACGGGUAGCCGGCCUGAGAGGGUGACCGGCCACAUUGGGACUGAGAUACGGCCCAGACUCCUACGGGAGGCAACAGUGGAGAAUAUUGCACAGUGGGCGGAAGCCUGAUGCAGCAACGCCGCGUGCGGGAUGACGGCCUUCGGGUUGUAAACCGCUUUCGCCUGUGACGAAGCGUGAGUGACGGUAAUGGGUAAAGAAGCACCGGCUAACUACGUG
rnacentral:rRNA from 1 species